UGGGGAAUAUUGCACAAUGGGGGAAACCCUGAUGCAGCGACGCCGCGUGAGCGAAGAAGGUUUUCGAAUCUUAAAGCUCUGUCCUAUGAGAAGAUAAUGACGGUAUCAUAGGAGGAAGCCCCGGCUAAAUACGUGCCAGCAGCCGCGGUAAUACGUAUGGGGCGAGCGUUGUCCGGAAUUAUUGGGCGUAAAGGGUACGUAGGCGGUCUAUUAAGUCAGGUGUGAAAGCGUGAGGCUUAACCUCAUUAAGCACUUGAAACUGAUAGACUUGAGUGAAGGAGAGGAAAGUGGAAUUCCUAGUGUAGCGAUGAAAUGCGUAGAUAUUAGGAGGAAUACCGGUGGCGAAGGCGACUUUCUGGACUUUUACUGACGCUCAGGUACGAAAGCGUGGGGAGCAAACAGG
rnacentral:rRNA from 1 species